CUACGGGUCGCUGCAGUGGGGAAUAUUGGGCAAUGGGCGCAAGCCUGACCCAGCAACGCCGCGUGAGGGAAGAAUGUCUUCGGAUUGUAAACCUCUGUCCCAUGGGACGAACAAAUGACGGUACCAUGGGAGGAAGCUCCGGCUAACUACGUGCCAGCAGCCGCGGUAAUACGUAGGGAGCGAGCGUUGUCCGGAAUUACUGGGCGUAAAGGGUGCGUAGGCGGCAUAAUAAGUCAGAUGUGAAAUACCCGGGCUCAACUCGGGGGGUGCAUUUGAAACUAUUAAGCUUGAGUACAGGAGAGGAAAGCGGAAUUCCUAGUGUAGCGGUGAAAUGCGUAGAUAUUAGGAGGAACACCAGUGGCGAAGGCGGCUUUCUGGACUGUCACUGACGCUGAGGCACGAAAGCGUGGGGAGCAAACAGGAUUAGAUACCCUGGUAGUC
rnacentral:rRNA from 1 species